rnacentral:rRNA from 1 species
AUUGAACGCUGGCGGCAUGCCUUACACAUGCAAGUCGAACGGUAACAGGUCUUCGGAUGCUGACGAGUGGCGAACGGGUGAGUAAUACAUCGGAACGUGCCUAGUAGUGGGGGAUAACUACUCGAAAGAGUGGCUAAUACCGCAUGAGAUCUACGGAUGAAAGCAGGGGAUCGCAAGACCUUGUGCUACUAGAGCGGCCGAUGGCAGAUUAGGUAGUUGGUGGGAUAAAAGCCUACCAAGCCGACGAUCUGUAGCUGGUCUGAGAGGACGAUCAGCCACACUGGGACUGAGACACGGCCCCGACUCCUACGGGAGGCAGCAGUGGGGAAUUUUGGACAAUGGGCGAAAGCCUGAUCCAGCAAUGCCGCGUGCAGGAUGAAGGCCUUCGGGUUGUAAACUGCUUUUGUACGGAACGAAAAGCCCCGGGUUAAUACCCUGGGGUCAUGACGGUACCGUAAGAAUAAGCACCGGCUAACUACGUGCCAGCAGCCGCAGUAA